AUAGAUAUGGUGAAAAAACACAAUUGACUCAGGAUCAAUAAAAUGUAGGCAACUCCUACUAUCUAAA
rnacentral:tRNA from 1 species